rnacentral:lncRNA from 1 species
GUGUGGCCUUGUAACCCUGAAGAUGAGGCACCAUCACAAAUGUGACUGUACACAGUCACUGCGGUGUUAUUUCUGCCACCGAGACAUAGGAAACGUGUUAUAAUACAGCCUCCAUCUUCUGGUCCUUUGAGACCAGAUGAGGAGAGCAGUCCUCCCAAUCCCACAGAACACGGGGACAAAAUGACCUAUGCUGUGGGAGGACAGUGAUGCCGUGGGCUCCUUGUUACUGCAGCCUAAGAGGUCUGCAAAUUCUCUUCUUUCCAUUCAUAGAGCCGAGGUUAGGGACUGGAGCUCUAGAAUCAGGGAAGGACUUCUCGGUGCAGAACUUGAAGUUGACGAGCAUAAUGGUGAUGAAGAUGGUGGUGACGAUAAUGAUAAUGAUGGCAAUGAUCAUGCUGGUGGUGAUUCCUUGAGGUUUCAAGCAACAUGAGGGGCAGCAGGCCUCACAGCAUCCCUUGCGGCUGUGGCUCCCCUGGCUCAGUCUAUACCAAACUCUCUCUAACAGGAUGGACUUGACCUGCCCAGCCACUUUCAUCUACAGAGUUGAGCCAGCAACUCAGCAACACCCCUAUAUCAGGGACAAAGAUGACCUUUGGCUUCUGCCUCUUUUUCCUCCUCCUCCUCAUUCCACAGACACUUACACUGGAGGGUGACAGCCCUUGGUGGGUCUCUGAGAGCAGAAGGGGGAUUGAGCCAUAGUGAGCCAUGCCGUUGAGAUACAUGCAGUGUAACAGAUCAGGUACAUGGAGCAAACGCCUUGGUGAUAUGAAUAAUGGGUACCUGGCAGUUGUUUCCUCCUCCAGGAAGCCAUUCCUGAUCACCUGCUGGGGGCUUCCCUCUGUACACAGUCACUGCAUCUGAUAUUAUCCAGACCCACCUUGUUCCUGCUUGCUGAGUGAUCUGCCUCCCUGUGGGCCUCAGAUCCCUCAUUGGGCAGAUAAGGAAACCAGGUGACCUCACAGAGCCUGGACAACUCUGAGGAGGGCCCUUUGUCUGGUGAAGGGUUGGGGGACCAGGCUGACAUGGGGAGGCAGGAGUGAGUCUGGACACCUGAACACCUGCCGCACCUUUCUGGAG